AGAGAGAGAGAGAGAGAGGGAGUUGCGUGCGCAGAGAAGAUAACUUCGAGUUAAUUCGGGAAGACGAUCUUUCAAUUGAGCGUGCAAAAGGUUAAUUGGUUUAUUUAUGAAGACUACGUCGUUUUCAUUAGUUAUCCAAUGACGCAUCAGCUACGACGUGAUCUGAUGUGAGACAACGACUUUCAGGCGUUCAGCUUUUGGUAUUGAGUGUAGUCAAUUUCAGUUUCGUUUGCCGUUUGCUUUUUG
rnacentral:misc_RNA from 1 species